GAACUUAAGCAUAUCAAUAAGCGGAGGAAAAGAAACUAACAAGGAUUCCCCUAGUAACUGCGAGUGAAGCGGGAAGAGCUCAAAUUUAAAAUCUGGCGUGCCUCUGGUCGUCCGAGUUGUAGUUUAGAGAAGCGUUUUCUGUGUUGGACCGUGUAUAAGUCUCUUGGAACAGGGCGUCAUAGAGGGUGAGAAUCCCGUCUUUGACACGGACUACCAAUGCUUUGUGAUACGCUCUCAAAGAGUCGAGUUGUUUGGGAAUGCAGCUCAAAAUGGGUGGUAAAUUCCAUCUAAAGCUAAAUAUAGGCGAGAGACCGAUAGCGAACAAGUACCGUGAGGGAAAGAUGAAAAGCACUUUGGAAAGAGAGUUAAACAGUACGUGAAAUUGCUGAAAGGGAAACGCUUGAAGUCAGUCACGUCUGCCAGGACUCAGCCUUGCUUCUGCUUGGUGUACUUUCUGGUUGGAUGGGCCAACAUCGAUUUCGACCGUUGGAGAAAGGCUUUGGGAAUGUGGCACCUUCGGGUGUGUUAUAGCCCUUUGUCGUAUACAACGGUUGGGAUCGAGGACUGCAGCAUGCCUUCAUGGCCGGGGUUCGCCCACGUACAUGCUUAGGAUGUUGGCAUAAUGGCUUUAAGCGACCCGUCUUGAAACACGGACCAAGGAGUCUAACAUGCCUGCGAGUGUUUGGGUGGAAAACCCAUGCGCGUAAUGAAAGUGAUAGCUGAGAUCCUCUCAUCAGGAGCAUCAGCGCCUGGACUUGAUCUACGGAGACGGUUCUACGGUAGAGCAUGUAUGUUGGGACCCGAAA
rnacentral:rRNA from 1 species